rnacentral:rRNA from 1 species
AUUGAACGCUGGCGGCGUGCCUAACACAUGCAAGUCGAGCGGCAGCGCGGGAGCAAUCCUGGCGGCGAGCGGCGGACGGGUGAGUAACGCUUGGGAAUCUGCCGUGUUAGUGGGGGACAACCCGGGGAAACUCGGGCUAAUACCGCAUACGCACUACGGUGGAAAGGCCCGGGGACCGCAAGGCCUGGCGCUAACGAGAUGAGCCCAAGUCGGAUUAGCUAGUUGGUAGGGUAACGGCCACCAAGGCGACGAUCCGUAACUGGUCUGAGAGGACGACCAGUCACACCGGAACUGAGACACGGUCCGGACUCCUACGGGAGGCAGCAGUGGGGAAUAUUGCGCAAUGGGCGGAAGCCUGACGCAGCGACGCCGCGUGAGGGAUGACGGCCUGGUUGUAA